UACGUAGGGUGCGAGCGUUAAUCGGAAUUACUGGGCGUAAAGCGUGCGCAGGCGGUUUUGUAAGACAGACGUGAAAUCCCCGGGCUUAACCUGGGAACUGCGUUUGAAACUACGGGGCUAGAGUGUGGCAGAGGGGGGUGGAAUUCCACGUGUAGCAGUGAAAUGCGUAGAUAUGUGGAGGAACACCGAUGGCGAAGGCAACCCCCUGGGCCGACACUGACGCUGAGGCACGAAAGCGUGGGGAGCAAACAGG
rnacentral:rRNA from 1 species